CGUGCCGGCUUUGGCACGCGUGCCAUAGGUCGCCUACCCCUGCACUAGGGAAUAACCGACAUAGGCCUGGCCAGAGUUCCCCAAAGCUCAGGUCAGAUCCACACUCUGGGACGGCAGCUCCCGAGACCGUCACUGAAACCUCGUUCCCAUCCUGCUGCCUCCUGGCAGCCGCUGCCUGGCGGAAGCCCCAGGACAUUCCUACAGCAGAAUGACCCACCCUGCCCCACGUCCUGCCCGGCUCUGGGGUGCUGCAGCUGGGCAGCCAACUGCUGUCAGGGGCGAGAGACCUGGAACAUCCAGCAGCUCCCUGGCGUUUGUGGGGCAGAGCCAGCAGCAGGCGGGGAGCAGGGGGGAGCUGUCGAUCUCAGACUGAUCACUGCAGAGAAGGAGCUACGGGGCAGGAACAGCUCCCGCCCGAUCUCCUACAGGGCAGGAUCGGUCGCAGGCCACACAAAUGUGUCCUUGGCCCAGCCAGGCAAACGGGCCUUUUGCUCCGGCAGGAUCCCGGGGAGCUCAGACCGACCAGGGCAGUUUGACUCUCGGUGCAUCAGAUUCCAACUCUGCUUCUCUCCCUUAUUUCCAGCCGCUCCGAGGAUCUUCAUCCCCACGCGAUCAGGAAUGAGACUCAGAGAGAGCUCCUUCCCCUGCCACGUGUGGGGCUUCUACCCCCGGGACAUCAUCAUCACCUGGCUGAGAGACGGGCGGGUUCGGACUGAAUCCACAUAUUCUCCCCUGCAGAGGAACCCGGACGGGACCUUUAACCUCACCCUGACCUACAGCUUCACCCCCAUGGACUGGGACAGAGGCAGCAUCUUAACCUGCCGUGUCAGCCACGCGGCUCUGCCCCAGCCCCUGCAGGAGGAGUUCGCCCUGAUAAUCGCAUGGUGGACAGGUGACAUAGUCGCACUUGUCUCAGGGAUCCUUCUCCUCGUCACUUUCCUGUUGCUGUGUGCAUGCCGGGUCUAUAGAGGGAAGAGCUACCAGACAGUUGUGACGUUCCCCUCUGUUGCUAUCCGGACCAGUGAUCUAUGGGGCCACUCCAACGCUUGACUCUGGGAGCCAGCCUGACUCUGCUCCGCUGGGAGAACCCCCCACUCCUGGGCUGGUCACUCACAGCCUCUGGCGGGUGAGCUGCUCCUUGGAUUGUGCAACCGAACGACACUAGCCAGAGAAUGCGACAAGAGCCUUAUCCAAUGCAACCGCAAAGGAGGGGUCUUAAAACAGGCAGACCACCAACGUAACUGCCAAAGCAGGAAAAACCUAAUAUGGAAAAUAUUAGGCUAGCUUGCUUGUUUUGCACACGUAAUUCCAAAUAAGGCAAAAUAUAUUGAGUGAUAUUUUGUGGUUUUAGCCUUUAUAAGCUUGAUGAAAUUUGUAAUGGGGAGGGGCAGCUAACCCUUGUAUGGGUACAUGCUGUUUCUCCCUGCAUGCAUGAAAGGAGCCUCAGGCUGUGGCUACACGUAGCACUUCAAAGCGCUGCCGUGGUAGUGCUGCCGCGGCAGCGCUUUGA